rnacentral:rRNA from 1 species
GAUGAACGCUGGCGGCGUGCCUAAUACAUGCAAGUCGAGCGAAUGGAUUAAGAGCUUGCUCUUAUGAAGUUAGCGGCGGACGGGUGAGUAACACGUGGGUAACCUGCCCAUAAGACUGGGAUAACUCCGGGAAACCGGGGCUAAUACCGGAUAACAUUUUGAACUGCAUGGUUCGAAAUUGAAAGGCGGCUUCGGCUGUCACUUAUGGAUGGACCCGCGUCGCAUUAGCUAGUUGGUGAGGUAACGGCUCACCAAGGCAACGAUGCGUAGCCGACCUGAGAGGGUGAUCGGCCACGCUGGGACUGAGACACGGCCCAGACUCCUACGGGAGGCAGCAGUAGGGAAUCUUCCGCAAUGGACGAAAGUCUGACGGAGCAACGCCGCGUGAGUGAUGAAGGCUUUCGGGUCGUAAAACUCUGUUGUUAGGGAAGAACAAGUGCUAGUUGAAUAAGCUGGCACCUUGACGGUACCUAACCAGAAAGCCACGGCUAACUACGUGCCAGCCGCCGCGGUAAAAC